AGUGAACGCUGGCGGUAGGCCUAACACAUGCAAGUCGAACGGCAGCACAGUAAGAGCUUGCUCUUACGGGUGGCGAGUGGCGGACGGGUGAGGAAUACAUCGGAAUCUACUUUUUCGUGGGGGAUAACGUAGGGAAACUUACGCUAAUACCGCAUACGACCUACGGGUGGAAGCAUGGGAUCUUCGGACCUUGCGCGAUUGAAUGAGCCGAUGUCGGAUUAGCUAGUUGGCUGGGUAAAGGCCCACCAAGGCGACGAUCCGUAGCUGGUCUGAGAGGAUGAUCAGCCACACUGGAACUGAGACACGGUCCAGACUCCUACGGGAGGCAGCAGUGGGGAAUAUUGGACAAUGGGCGCAAGCCUGAUCCAGCCAUACCGCGUGGGUGAAGAAGGCCUUCGGGUUGUAAAGCCCUUUUGUUGGGAAAGAAAAGCAGCAGGUUAAUACCCCGCUGUUCUGACGGUACCCAAAGAAUAAGCACCGGCUAACUUCGUG
rnacentral:rRNA from 1 species